GCAGGCUGAGCGAGCCAGGAGAAGCAAGCCAGUAAAGAACAUCCCUCCAUAGCCUCUGCAUCAGCUCCUGCUUCCUGACCUGCUAGAGUUCCAGUCCUAACUUCCUUGGUGGUGAACAGCAGUAUGGAAGUGUAAGCCGAAUAAACCCUUUCCUCCCUGCUGCUGUCCUCACUGCCCACGGAGACAAGAACGACACGGACACCAAGGGAGGAAUGAAGCACAGAAAUGAAGUGUAUGAUCUAAGCAAGACAGAAAGCCAGCAGGGCAAGCAUCUUGUACCUCUGGGUCCACUAGAGUACAAGGAGUUCUUUUUAUGAAGAGGAAAAGCAAUAAAAUAAAAGAAGUGAUGGAGGAUUGGAUUUUAUUAAGAACAUAUUGAGAGUGUUCCUGGGAUUGGAUGUUACGGGCAUGGUAACUGUAGCUGGUGGAGAAAAAAGCAGACCGUGCCAGCACCUGAGGGAGGGCUGGCGUCGAGGACCGAAUUGGAAGGGUUGAUUGUGGCAAUGAGACAUCACUAUGAUUGGGAGUCGUGUAGCCCACAGCCUGGACAAUUGCCUGCAGUAUCUCUGCAACUUCCUGUGAGUCAGAGGACGGAGGGGAGAACAGAGGCAGAAGAGGGUGACUGAGCCAGCAUGCUGUCCUCUGCAGCUUUGGGAGUCACGCCUGUGUGUGCCUGAGCUCCACCGCCAACCAGCUUCCCUAUCUUUGGGCAAGCUAUUUAGACGUUGUGGUUCCUUGCUUCAUCAUCCAUAGAGUCCAUCUAGUGACCCUGUGGACCCAGGAGCAUCAGGGCUCUGGACUUGAAGCAUCUAUUUGGCAUAGUGAAAAUCUACAUGUUUUCUUCACUGGACUCUUUGGAAAUGACAGUCUUAUUAUGCACUCCAGGCUCUCAAACUCUGGCUUCUCAUGCUGCAAACUCUCAAAUGCUGAGGCUACAGGCAUUGCUGGUCUGUGCCACCACACCAGACAAGAGAAGUUAAGAGUAUCAAUACAGCCUGCUUUUAAAACUAAGUAAACAAAAUGGAACGGGGAGGGGAAAGGACCACCAACAACAGCAUCAAGCAUGAGACUCUUCUUGGGAACAGCUGUGCCUCUAGGCAGACAGAUGAAUCCGGGUGGCCUUUGAUGUCUCUCGGAGCAGAGUAUUGUGAUGAGUCCUGGCCUCCCUGGAGCUUUUUCAUCAUCCCUAAAUUGGAAUCUACUGCAGAAGCCGUUAUCAGCAACCUCGAGCACACUUUCCGGAACAGCAGCUAGAAACCCAAAUAAAUGCUCUCAUUUCCCAAAUGCUUGACUCGGGAAUGUGAGCCACUGAGUCACAGCUCUUGACUUCAGGGUGACCUGGCUUUUGAGGUGCUGGCCUGAGUCAUACCACCUGACCCUACACCAUUUGUGUUCUUGGCAACUGGCAUCUUCUCUGUGUAAGCCAGGCUCCUUCCUCACACAGGGGCUGCUCGAGAAUUUCACAAUGUGCAGGGCUCAAUGGACGGCCCACGGAGAUCCUUAAGCACAAUGGAAUGAAAGAUGCCAGCAACUGUUGACACUUGCUCCUUUGAAACAGUUUUUGAAAAACCGUGUAAGCCUGGCUGAGAAAAGGCAAAUAGCCUUUAGUGAAUCAGUUUGGCAAGCCAACCCGGAUAGAAGAUAAAUGUGCUGCAAGCACAUUUAGCAGCAACAGGACAAAACCACAGGUAGUUGAUAGGCACAACAGAGGAGCCUAUUCUGCUACCGAGCCCUUCCUGGGGAACACCUGCUCCCCAACUGACCUCUCCACAGCCCCUUUCUAGCACCUUGUCUGGGAUGAGAUAGGCACAUUAUUGAAUCCUAAUGCUCUUCAAAGGCUGAUCUGGUUUUCAAGUGGGCCGGUGUCCACCUUCAUCUUUAUUGUGAUCAUUGACCCCAUUGGUCCUCUAGUUGUAUUUCUGGUACUGUGGUCUCUAUGGGUAAGGAAAGGAACUGCAGAUCCAAUGGCCCUUCAGAGACUUCGGUGAAAAAUGCACAUGAUGUUCGGCUGUUCUGGUAAUGAAAUAGAUGCACAUAAAAACAACAGUGAUGUGUCUAUACCAGCGUCUGUAGACAGAGUAAAGCACUUGCUAUGCAAUCAGACUCUGAGCUCAGAUCCCUAGCAAGCAUGUAAUAGCCUGGUGUGAUAGUCCCAUCCUAGUAACUUAAACCUAGACCCUUCCACCUCGUGAUCCGUCUUCCAGGACUUCACCCCAGCCACUAAGCCUCAUAUAUAAGCUUUUGUAAUGUCGUGGUUCAUAACGGGUAGGCUCUGAGAAAUGACCACUGGACAGGUGGGGGUCGGGGUGCAUGAUAAAGCCAUCAAACAAAGUGUGUGAGACUCAGUCUUCCUGUUACAUGCCCAGCUAAAGAAGAAAACAAAAUAUUACUUGCAGAGUAAAAUAUCUAAUACUGCCUCAGGGUUUGGAAGGAGCCACAUGAAAAUGGCAAUGGAGUCACAUCCUGGAGACUGGAUAGGCUCAUUUUUAUUUUUGCAUCUAUAUUUUCCCUAUUCUCCAUUUGAUUAGAAAGUAUGUUACUUUAAUAAAAACUUUUUAAUCAAAAGUU
ensembl:lincRNA Gm19589 predicted gene, 19589